rnacentral:rRNA from 1 species
UACGGAGGGGGCUAGCGUUGUUCGGAAUUACUGGGCGUAAAGCGCGCGUAGGCGGCUUUGUAAAUUAGAGGUGAAAGCCCGGGGCUCAACUCCGGAAUUGCCUUUAAGACUGCAUCGCUAGAACGUCGGAGAGGUAUGUGGAAUUCCGAGUGUAGAGGUGAAAUUCGUAGAUAUUCGGAAGAACACCAGUGGCGAAGGCGACAUACUGGACGACUGUUGACGCUGAGGUGCGAAAGCGUGGGGAGCAAACAGG